rnacentral:rRNA from 1 species
GGUCCUUCGGGAUGCUGACGACCGGCAAACGGGUGAGUAACGCGUAUGCAAUCUACCUCUAACAGGGGCACAACUUCGGGAAACUGGAGCUAAUUCCCCAUAAAACUGUGAAAUCGCAUGGUUUUACAAUUAAAGUUCCAACGGUUAGAGAUGAGCGUGCGUUCGAUUAGAUAGUUGGCGGGGUAACGGCCCACCAAGUCGACGAUCGAUAGCUGAUGUGAGAGCAUGAUCAGCCACACGGGCACUGAGACACGGGCCCGACUCCUACGGGAGGCAGCAGUAGGGAAUAUUGGGCAAUGGAGGAAACUCUGACCCAGCCAUGCCGCGUGAAGGAUGAAGGUCCUACGGAUUGUAAACUUCUUUUAUUAGGGAAGAAACGUUUUGAUUCAUCAGAACUUGACGGUACCUAAGGAAUAAGCACCGGCUAACUCCGUGCCAGCAGCCGCGGUAAUACGGAGGGUGCAAGCGCUAUCCGGAUUCACUGGGUUUAAAGGGUGCGUAGGUGGAUUGAUAAGUCAGUGGUGAAAGCCCCGAGCUCAACUUGGGAAUUGCCAUUGAUACUGUUAGUCUUGAGUUCGGUUGAGGUAGGCGGAAUAAGUCAUGUAGCGGUGAAAUGCUUAGAUAUGACUUAGAACACCGAUUGCGAAGGCAGCUUACCAAGCCGACACUGACACUGAGGCACGAAAGCGUGGGGAUCAAACAGGAUUAGAUACCCUGGUAGUCCACGCCCUAAACGAUGAUCAUUCGACAUUAGCGAUAAACAGUUAGUGUCCAAGCGAAAGCGUUAAAUGAUCCACCUGGGGAGUACGCCCGCAAGGGUGAAACUCAAAGUAAUUGACGGGGGUCCGCACAAGCGGUGGAGCAUGUGGUU